rnacentral:misc_RNA from 1 species
UUUACAAUACAUCAUAAAAUUUUACUCUUAAUUGUGAGGUCAAAAACUUUAAAUUUUCACUUUCCAAAAAUGCCUUUCCGCCUCCUCAAAUUUCUGGUUAUAGAUCCACUAAGAAGGUGGGCAGCAAUCAGCAUUAACCAAAUAAGCUGGUAUAGGUAAACCCAAAGGCUGCUUCUGUCUCUGUCAGGGGAGAUGCCAACCAUCUCUUCUUUCUAUUGACCAAAAAUUCUAUCCACAUAUGGAUGUGUGCUUGGUUUGACAGUCCAAGACUUAAACAACUAACGAAAGAGCAUUCAGAGAGAAAGUAGAAAUGUUGCAGGAAAGUUUGUGCACAAAUUUGUGUGUCACAAGCUUACUUAUACAAUUAUUAGUAUUCAGCAGAACAGAAG